rnacentral:rRNA from 1 species
UGGGGAAUAUUGCACAAUGGAGGGAACUCUGAUGCAGCAACGCCGCGUGCGGGAUGACGGCCUUCGGGUUGUAAACCGCUUUCAGCCAUGACGAAGCUUUUGUGACGGUAGUGGUAGAAGAAGCACCGGCUAACUACGUGCCAGCAGCCGCGGUGAUACGUAGGGUGCGAGCGUUGUCCGGAAUUAUUGGGCGUAAAGAGCUUGUUGGCGGUUUGUCGCGUCGAAAGUGUAAACUCAGUGCUUAACGCUGAGCCUGCUUUCGAUACGGGCUGACUAGAGGAGGGUAGGGGAGAAUGGAAUUCCCGGUGGAGCGGUGGAAUGCGCAGAUAUCGGGAGGAACACCAGUGGCGAAGGCGGUUCUCUGGACCUUUCCUGACGCUGAGAAGCGAAAGCGUGGGUAGCAAACAGG